rnacentral:rRNA from 1 species
UACGUAGGGUGCGAGCGUUGUCCGGAAUUACUGGGCGUAAAGAGCUCGUAGGUGGUUUGUCGCGUUGUUCGUGAAAUCUCACGGCUUAACUGUGAGCGUGCGGGCGAUACGGGCAGACUAGAGUACUGCAGGGGAGACUGGAAUUCCUGGUGUAGCGGUGGAAUGCGCAGAUAUCAGGAGGAACACCGGUGGCGAAGGCGGGUCUCUGGGCAGUAACUGACGCUGAGGAGCGAAAGCGUGGGGAGCGAACAGGAUUAGAUACCCUGGUAGUCCACGCCGUAAACGGUGGGUACUAGGUGUGGGUUUCCUUCCCUUGGGAUCCGUGCCGUAGCUAACGCAUUAAGUACCCCGCCUGGGGAGUACGGCCGCAAGGCUACGACUC